rnacentral:rRNA from 1 species
UACGAAGGGUGCUAGCGUUGCUCGGAAUCACUGGGCGUAAAGGGUGCGUAGGCGGGUCUUUAAGUGCGGGGUGAAAUCCUGGAGCUCAACUCCAGAACUGCCUUUGAUACUGAAGAUCUUGAGUUCGGGAGAGGUGAGUGGAACUGCGAGUGUAGAGGUGAAAUUCGUAGAUAUUCGCAAGAACACCAGUGGCGAAGGCGGCUCACUGGCCCGAUACUGACGCUGAGGCACGAAAGCGUGGGGAGCAAACAGG